UAAAAGGUAAGCUAAGUAAAGCUAUUGGGCUCAUACCUCACUUAUGAAAUUUUUAUUCCCUUUUAA
rnacentral:tRNA from 1 species